UUUCCUGUUCAUCUUUUCUAUUUCAGCCAACUUAAAAGAUGGAAACCAAGAGCCUCGUAACCUUGUUUCUUGUUUCGUGCAUUUUUGUCUCUGUCUGUUUUCAACCCGCUGCCUCUCAAGGUCUUCGAUGGGGAAGAGAAUAUGAAGAGGAAGAAGAAAACCAUCGAGUGAAUCCAGUGAAAGCCGAUUAUCUCAGGCGCAAAGAGAUGCACAGAACAUUUGAAGAUGCCGCAGAUGAGGCCGACUUUGAUUAUAACAGACGCUGAGUUCUACUGGAAUAUCCUACACACCAAAACGGACUAGACUGAACAUUUGAUUGAGCUUUCGUAACCCGUUACCAUGGGAAAAUUUACUUUUAAUUGAUGCAUGAUUAUUAUUUAGUAGAGGAAAUAAGUUAAGCUUGUAAAUGAGUUCAAAAAUCAUACAGCAAUAAAACGCAGUCUGAACGAUGUCGGAAUAAAAAGGAACCAGACUUUUGUCUAGUGAUAGCUAAAACCCGUGCACAAAGAAGGGAGAGAACCACGGUUACCAGGUCAAUAAACGUCUGAAAUCUUC